GACAGAGGGUGCAAACGUUGUUCGGAUUUACUGGGCGUAAAGCGCGUGUAGGCGGCUUGGCAAGUCGGAUGUGAAAGCCCACGGCUCAACCGUGGAAGCGCAUCCGAAACUGCUUCGCUCGAGUCUCGGAGAGGAAGGUGGAAUGCUUGGUGUAGAGGUGAAAUUCGUAGAUAUCAAGCAGAACACCUGCGGCGAAGGCGGCCUUCUGGACGAUGACUGACGCUGAGACGCGAAAGCGCGGGGAGCAAACAGG
rnacentral:rRNA from 1 species